rnacentral:rRNA from 1 species
UGCUUGGGAAUCAGCCCAUUAGUGGGGGACAACAUUCGGAAACGGAUGCUAAUACCGCAUACGCCCUACGGGGGAAAGCGGGGGAUCUUCGGACCUCGCGCUAAUGGAUGAGCCUAAGUCGGAUUAGCUUGUUGGUAGGGUAAUGGCCUACCAAGGCGACGAUCCGUAGCUGGUCUGAGAGGACGAUCAGCCACACUGGGACUGAGACACGGCCCAGACUCCUACGGGAGGCAGCAGUGGGGAAUAUUGGACAAUGGGCGCAAGCCUGAUCCAGCAAUGCCGCGUGUGUGAAGAAGGCCUGCGGGUUGUAAAGCACUUUCAGUAGAGAAGAAAAGCCUGAGGUUAAUACCCUCGAGUCUUGACGUAACCUACAGAAGAAGCACCGGCUAACUCCGUGCCAGCAGCCGCGGUAAUACGGAGGGUGCGAGCGUUAAUCGGAAUUACUGGGCGUAAAGCGCGCGUAGGCUGUUGAGUGAGUCAAAUGUGAAAUCCCCGGGCUUAACCUGGGAACUGCAUUCGAUACUGCUUAACUAGAGUAUGGUAGAGGGAAGUGGAAUUUCCGGUGUAGCGGUGAAAUGCGUAGAUAUCGGAAGGAACACCAGUGGCGAAGGCGACUUCCUGGGCCAAUACUGACGCUGA